CCUCUGUUUACUUGCCUGGAGGUCUUCAGGUGUAAGGUGCUAUAUAAUCAGCACUACAUCACAUGCCAGGGUAUCCAGAGAGCCCAAAAGAAACCAUCACAGAGUUCAGCACCGGUGGGAUGCAUCCCCUGGGAGGACACCCAGCCUGUGCUGCCCUGAAUGCAGAGCCACAGGCGUGGAAUCCAUCAUGAGCUGUGGGGAUGCAGGCAGGGCAGGGCAACGGCAAUGAGCAUCACUGGAGUAGGACCCUCUCCCCCUGGGCCGUGGGCUGCCAGAACCCCCUGUCCUCAAUGUCGGUUCCUUCCACUGAUGUAAAAUUGACUUUUUGAAAGUUUCAAAGACAAAAAGGGAAAUCAGAACAAAUGGGAAUCCAUAAAAACACAUCCAGGCUGCCAAGUCUACAGCAGCCACAAUUUGCAAUGGAUGAGAUAUUAACACCCUGAAAAAUUGGGGUAAUGAUGUGCAGUAAUAUUUGUCAUCACCAAGGCUGAGUACGUUAAACAAAACCGUUCUGAAAUACAGCUUCUGCCCGAGCCUGGUAACUCCUUCCCAGAUGUAAAUAUCAGUGUUGUUUUCCAAGCGUUCCUUAAAUACCAUAAGGCUUUCCUCUACUUACAGCACUAACAGCCCGUAAAAUGUCAUUUUUUGUUUUCUAAUUAGUCUGAUGAUUUUUAGAUGGGAUUUGACAGCAACAGCUAAGAAGCAUCUCAGCCUGCAAAAAAUUCUCCCUGGGAUGGUACUUCUCCCUCCAGCAGCCAGGAAGGGAAAUGGAACAGCUCGGUGAUGCUCAAGAGUGUUCAGCAAAGGCAGAGAAUGGACAGGACCUCUUAUCUCCAUCCUCCCAGGAAGGUGCCAGAACCCACGGUGCCCUCCUGCCUAUUUCAUCUCACUGCCUGCAACCUGCCCACCCACUUAUUCACUCCAAGCAAUUACGAGAGGAUCCUCUGACUUCAGGGCACGAGCCCAUGAGGCAUGCAAGAAAUGGGUUAUCCCUCCUCCAGGGACUCAACGAUCCUUAAGGGUACCUUCCAACUCAAGAUAUUCUAUGAUACUAUGAAUCAUGGAUGGAGGGUCCCCUUGCUUUAAGAAUGAGUCCAGUUGGUAGCAGGGAAGGGAACGAGGACAAGGAAGAGGAAAAGAAAAGGAGGAGAGAAAUGGGAAAGAGAAGAACCCCAGAGCAACCAGCUCACACAGAAACCAAGCCCUGCAGCCUCCCCAGCAGGCCAGAGGCCACGCCAGGGCUGUGGAGCAGCUGAUGAGCUCCUCCUGCCCCAGCCUCUCCACCACACAGGGCUUCCUCCUGCCUUUUGGUGAGUGCUUCCCCAGGGUGUGUGCCAUGCCAGGUUGCCAGCUGCUGUUUGGAGAGAGGCCACAGCCUGCCUGUUCGCCGGCUGUCUCCCAGUUCUAUUACUCCACGCUUCAGGCUUUUGGCUGCAUUGUUGUUGUUGUUGCUAUUAAGCUGAAAGGAGUGACAUUUCUUUCCCGCACCCACCUUCUCUGUCUCCGCUGCCACAUCCCUGCAGGGCUGCACAAAGGACUUGCUGGGUUUUG
ensembl:lncRNA